GGCACUGUAAUCCAAUUGGCAGAGAUAGCGGAUUCAAAAUCCGUAAAGUGUGGAUUCGAAUUCCACCAGUGCUA
rnacentral:tRNA from 1 species